CCUUCGUCCAGCCACGAGUUUCCGUACCUAAUUUUAAUUGUCCUUCUUAUUUAAAAUUUUUUUUAAUUAGCAUUUUUGUUGUUAUAAGAUGAUAAAACAUGAAUAGUACUUUACUCGUGACUUAUGUUUUUAAUUUUUUUCAAAAAAUUUUCAAAUAAGACGAACGGUUAAAGUUAGGCGCGGAAAACCAUGGUUGCACUUGUU
rfam:Oryza sativa (indica cultivar-group) chromosome 3, whole genome shotgun sequence.